rnacentral:tRNA from 1 species
UGGGGAUGGAGCUCUGUGGCAGAGCUCUUGCCUUGCAUGUCUGCGGCCCUGGGUUCAAACCCCAGUACCACAG